UACGUAGGGGGCAAGCGUUGUCUGGAUUUAUUGGGCGUAAAGCGCGUGUAGGCGGCUGGGUAGGUCCGCUGUGAAAACUCGAGGCUCAACCUCGAGACGUCGGCGGAAACCAUCCAGCUAGAGUCCGGAAGAGGAGAGUGGAAUUCCUGGUGUAGCGGUGAAAUGCGCAGAUAUCAGGAAGAACACCCGUGGCGAAGGCGGUUCUCUGGGACGGUACUGACGCUGAGACGCGAAAGCGUGGGGAGCGAACAGG
rnacentral:rRNA from 1 species